AGUACGGCGAGUGAACAGGGAUCAGCCCAGCACCGAAGCCUUUGACUAUUUGGUCAUUUGGCAAUGUGGUGUUUAGGUCGUUCCGCAGAAUCACUGCUUCACCCUAAGUCCGGCAAUGAGCACGGUAGUUCGGACAUGGCCCACAGAGGGUGUAAGGCCCGUGGGGGUGGAUGCAGUGGUUCUCUGGACAGACCUUGGAGUCGGGUUGUUUGUGAAUGCAGCCCAAAGUGGGUGGUAAACUCCAUCCAAGGCUAAAUACUUGCACGAGUCCGAUAGCGAACAAGUACCGCGAGGGAAAGUUGAAAAGUACUUUGAAGAGAGAGUAAACAGUGCGUGAAACCGCUCAGAGUCAAACGGAUGGAGUUGAACUGCAGGCAAUGAGAAUUCAGCUGGUAAGUGUGGUUUGUACUUGGUCAAACUGUCUGAACUUUGAGGUCUGUUUCACAGCAGGCUCCAGUCUCCGGACUGGUGUGCGUGGUACACUUACCAUGUGUUGCGCGCCUCUUGGUUCAUCGAGCCGACUUGCCAGUGCACUUUCUCAUUGCGUUCACCAGGACAGGUUCUGCUGGCUGGCUGUUGUGGUUAAACCGAGCAAGUAUUGGCCUUGUGUCUUUAUUUGUUCGGGAUGGCAGGUAUCUCGUUGGUUUGCUCGCUUGCGUGCUGAUCUUCGAGUGUAAUAGCUGACCGCAUCAGUUCUGUGCAGUGAGCCUGAGACGGCGGCUAGUGGUGUGGCAUCGUGCCUGUUCGUUUGGCGUAUUCCGGUUUGGUCGUCAUGUUGCCUGUUCAAGCAGGCCUGACAAUAGCUGGGAUUCGUUCAAACGGCGGUUGCGUGUGCCUCAUCUCUCCAAGGGCCUAAAGUCCCUGGUGUCGUGGUAGACUUCCAUCUGACCCGUCUUGAAACACGGACCAAGGAGAGUAACAUGUGCGCGAGCAAUUGGGGGGUACGAAACCCACAAGCGCAGUGAAAGUGAAGAUCUGACUUGUUCAGAUUGUGGUGAGAUCCUACUUUGUCUCAUACAUUGUACUACCAAGUUUCGAUGAGCGGGCGCAUCACCGGCCCGUCUCAUGACAAUUGCUUUCGGGCACAAAACAGUCGGGGCGGAGCAUGAGCGUAUAUGUUGAGACCCGAAAGAUGGUGAACUAUGCUUGCGCAGGUUGAAGCCAGAGGAAACUCUGGUGGAGGACCGCAGCGCUUCUGACGUGCAAAUCGAUCGCCAGACGUGAGUAUAGGGGCGAAAGACUAAUCGA
rnacentral:rRNA from 1 species